AAAAAUGUUACCGUGAAGCGCGAAGAAAAAACACUGUUUAUCGUUUCAGAACACUUUUCAGCAGAUUCAAAGAUUUACCGUUAAAAUACCAAAAUUUUACCGUUAAAAUACCAAAAUUUUUACCGUUUACUGAUUUUCAGACCACCUCCCCCCAUCUAGACCCUCCUAAAAGUAUAAAUAAUAAAUUACCAAUAAUUUCCAUACCCUUGGAGAUGAUUCUGAAUAGAGUCUAUAUUUUUUUUGAUUGGGGAAAUUAUGUUAUUUGCUUUCAGGGAACUGAAUCAAAAUAAGUAUUGGUUGAUAAGAAACUAGUUGACUGGUUAAUUCAUUGUGAUGCAAAGUACACGACUAUUGAAGAAACGCGAAGCAGACGUUAUAGAUUGUAUAGAACUAGAUUAUAAAAACCUCGAUGUAUGGUAAAUCGCUUUAUGUUCGCUUUAUAUGUGCUUUAAACUGAGAACGGUUGUGCAAAAGAAUUUUCCAUUUAGCCUAUAAAACCAAGUGUAACUUUUACAUCCUGAAUUGAACAAUAUAUAACGUACUGUAUAUAUAUACACACGUAAAAAUCUCACAACUUGUCAACAAGAUGCGUUCGCAAGCUUGUCAACAAGUUGUAUAACAAUGCUGUUAUUUUAUCAAGUUGUUACGAGGUUGUAUGCACUCACAACCUGUUGACAAAUUGUUGAAUUGCAGGACGAUAACAACUUGUAACAAGUCUGUUGAGCUCAAGCUGGGAACAAACAAUGCGAACACAUCCUGUUGACAACACCUGCAGCAGACUUGUAGCAAUAGACAAUUCCAGCUAUAUACUAAAUUUUGAUCUAGGCGAGAAGAACAAAAUCCAUCACUACAGCUAGAAGGAGUAUGUUAAAAUUAGUAAAAUUGCAAAGUUUGGUUGCGAAAUGUUGUAAAAUGAGGAAAAUAUAGCCCUACGAAAUUUUGUAUUAAUUUGUAUUACGGGAAUUUGCACCACUUUCGACCCAAAUGUAGCCUGCUCGCAGACGUUGACCCAAAUGUGGUGCAUUUUCCUGUGCGUAAUACAAAUUAAUACAAAAUUUGCAAAUUUCGCAGGGUUAUAUUUUCCUCAUUUUACAACAUUUCGCCAAACUUUGCAAUUUUACUAAUUUUAACAUGCUCUUUCUAGCUGUGGUGAUGGAUUUUGUUCUUCUUGCCUAGAUCAAAAUUUAGUCUAGCUGGAAUUGCUCAUUGCUACAAGUCUGCUGCAGGUUUGUCACAACUUCGUUUUUGCGUGUGUAGUGUGCAAGAUUGAAUGUCAUUCAGAAAAUACUGAACAAUGUUAUAAUAUGAUUUUGACUUGUAAUUAUAUAUAUCUUCCGUCUUACAAGAUACACAAGAUUCGUACAACCAGCUUUUUGUCGUGCAUGGCAAUGGACAGUGUAAAUAUUUAAUUUGUCAGACAUUAUUAAUAACGUAAACAGCGAACUAUAUACUGUAUUUAGUAAUGGUUUUUUUUCGCUCGCUAGUCGAAUUGCAUUCACAACCCAAUAGUUUCGACACUCCAGUCUAUUAAUAUAUAGUGUCUUCAUCAGGGUGAUCUGAAGUCGCAACGUGACUUCUUAUAUAUACCCAUGCAUGGGACGUUAUCUCAUGAGUAUAUAUAAGAAGUCACGUUGCGACUUAUCUGCCAACAAGAUGUAUAUAUUCUUGUGACAAAUAAGCACCGUCAUCCCUAUAUUCAAAGCAUGAUUACUCAUAAUUUAAUGCCACGCUUCUAGGCAAUGACUCUAGCGUUUUCCCACGCAAUCAAGUUGGUGUCACACACAUGUUCUGCUGAAGCUGAUUUUUAUUUAAGUUUAAACAGCCUUUUGGUGUUCUUCUAGGCGUGUGUCAAACUGGCGUUUAGGUUGACCUAGAUACUUACAGUCACCAGAUGGAACACAAUACACAACAUACAUGAUGUGUUUUAACAGGAUCUUUCGGCUUGCGAAAACAUGGCCUUAAUUAAGUCAAAUAAGGUUUUAAGGCAACCUUAAUAUUACAAUUACUUACGAUUCUCUUGAUUGGUUCUGUAACACCUUGAAUGUAGGGAACUACAGCAUAACCCUUGACAGAGGCAUCACAUGCUUUGAAUAGGGAUGACGGACAGACGGUGCCGGAUUUGCCACAAGAAUAUAUCCCAUCCGGUUGGCAGAUGACGUCAUCCCAUGGGCAUAUAUACUGAAGCUCUGUAGUGAAGCCACGUUGAGACAGAUCACCCCAGAUGAAGACACUGGAGUCUCGAAACGUUCGGUUGUGAAUGCAAUUCGACUGGGCUUUGCAUUCAUUUAUUCAUUUAGUCUUAGAAAAAAAUCGGCAAAGUAUAAAUUUUGCUCAAAAAAUUUGACAAUGAAAAUAAUUAAAAUGUAUAUGUUACAGUUGUUACUAAAUACGAGGU